GGGUUUAGUUGCGGGCAGCGACAAGAGCAGCUGCAGUGCGGGCGACGAUCUC
rnacentral:sRNA from 1 species